GCCAGUGUGGUGUAGUGGUUUGAGCAUUGGACUAUGACUCUGGAGACCAUGGUUCAAUUCCCAGCUAAGGCA